rnacentral:lncRNA from 1 species
AAUAUAAUUUCUCGACCUCUGAAAAAGCAAUUUACAUAUAUUUAUUUUUUUUCUUUUAUUUUUUUGACAUGUAAAAUAAUUGACCUCUCUCUCUCUCUCUCAUUAUUAUAGAGACUGUUAUCCAAAUGAACAAUCUGAUAGUUCCGUAAUAUGGACACUCAUUAGAUUAAUUCAUUAAAUGGCUACUAAAGUUCGGCAUCAAACUCACGAUCUUACAAACAAACAACACGAGUUUAGGAUUAACUACGAAACUUUAUCAUUCAAAAAAAAUCAAUCUGAUAGAAAAGAGACCUAUAAAUGUGUUUAACAUAUGAUCUACUCCAUCACAUAGCAAUGCUUUAUAAGGAAAGAAAAUUUAACAAAGAAAGUUAGUUGCCACACAUAUUUAU